rnacentral:rRNA from 1 species
CUACGGAGGAUCCGAGCGUUAUCCGGAUUUAUUGGGUUUAAAGGGUGCGCAGGCGGGAGAUUAAGUCGGCGGUGAAAUUUUUCAGCUCAACUGUAAAAGGGCCUUCGAAACUGGUUUCCUUGAGUGUAGAUGAAGUAGGCGGAAUUUGUGGGGUAGCGGUGAAAUGCAUAGAUAUCACGAGGAACUCCGAUUGCGCAGGCAGCUUACUAAACUACUACUGACGCUCAGGCACGAAGGCGUGGGGAUCAAACAGGAUUAGAUACCCUGGUAGUCCACUCAGUAAACGAUGAUUACUAGCUGUUUGCGAUACAAUGUAAGCGGCUGAGCGAAAGCGUUAAGUAAUCCACCUGGGGAGUACGUUCGCAAGAAUGAAACUCAAAUGAAUUGACGGGG